rnacentral:tRNA from 1 species
AAGUAGCUCAGCUUGGUAGAGCACUUGGUUUGGGACCAAGGGGUCGCAGGUUCGAAUCCUGUCUU